UACGUAGGUGGCAAGCGUUGUCCGGAUUUACUGGGCGUAAAGAGCGCGCAGGCGGUCGUUCAAGUCGCGUGUGAAAGCCCCCGGCUCAACUGGGGAGGGUCACGCGAUACUGAUCGACUCGAAGGCAGGAGAGGGUAGUGGAAUUCCCGGUGUAGUGGUGAAAUGCGUAGAUAUCGGGAGGAACACCAGUGGCGAAGGCGACUACCUGGCCUGUUCUUGACGCUGAGGCGCGAAAGCGUGGGGAGCGAACCGG
rnacentral:rRNA from 1 species